UACGUAGGUGACAAGCGUUGUCCGGAUUUACUGGGCGUAAAGAGCGCGCAGGCGGUCGAUCAAGUCGAGUGUGAAAGCCCCCGGCUCAACUGGGGAGGGUCAUUCGAUACUGAUCGACUCGAAGGCAGGAGAGGGUAGUGGAAUUCCCGGUGUAGUGGUGAAAUGCGUAGAGAUCCGGAAGAACACCGGUGGCGAAGGCGGCCUGCUGGGUUCUGGCUGACACUGAGGCGCGACAGCGUGGGGAGCAAACAGG
rnacentral:rRNA from 1 species